GACGAACGCUGGCGGCGUGCUUAACACAUGCAAGUCGAACGAUGAAGCCGGAGCUUGCUCUGGUGAAUUAGUGGCGAACGGGUGAGUAACACGUGAGUAACCUGCCCUUGACUCUGGGAUAACUGCGGGAAACUGUAGCUAAUACCGGAUACGACCCUCGGAGGCAUCUCCUGGGGGUGGAAAGAAUUUCGGUCAAGGAUGGACUCGCGGCCUAUCAGCUAGUUGGUGAGGUAAAGGCUCACCAAGGCGACGACGGGUAGCCGGCCUGAGAGGGUGACCGGCCACACUGGGACUGAGACACGGCCCAGACGCCUACGGGAGGCAGCAGUGGGGAAUAUUGCACAAUGGGCGCAAGCCUGAUGCAGCAACGCCGCGUGAGGGAUGACGGCCUUCGGGUUGUAAACCUCUUUUAGCAGGGAAGAGGCGAAAGUGACGGUACCUGCAGAAAAAGCACCGGCUAACUACGUGCCAGCCGCCCCGUAA
rnacentral:rRNA from 1 species